rnacentral:lncRNA from 1 species
AACAAAACAAAACCUAAGAAACCAACUUCUCUCGACUAAACUUUCUCUUAAUUAAGGUCUAAAGAGUUGGAAUCAAGCCUCAGCCAUAAAGCAAUACUUUGACGCACCAUGGAGAAACAAAUUUGAAGGUUAGGGGCAGUGUCAUUAAAAAUAACAUCAUUUCGAUGAAGCCAAAGAUUCCAAACAACACAAGAGAAAAGAAGCUCCCAUGAGAGAUUCUGCUGCUCGCCUUUAACCAUAGAGGACCAUUGGUAGCACAUAUCAUCAACAGAUUUUGGAAAAACACUACAAACACCCCGAUUAGCAAGCAAUUUCAUCCAUAUAUUCCAAGUGAAGUGGCAGUGAAUGAAGAGGUGACUUGUAGAUUCCAG